AAAAUGCCUUCUAAAAAUUUGAGAAAUGCUACAUUUUACAAUAUUGUAAAACCGAUUUCACCUUUCAUUUUUCAGUGCCUGAAGAUGGCUUAUGUAGCCAUAUGAAAAGCAUGAUGCCGAAAGACUUUGCUGACAUGGACAUAUUCACUGGAGAGGCCAUCGAUGUUGUCAUCGGAUCCUCAAGAGAUGACGGAAAGGUGUACGCUGGAUCCGGGCAAUGGAUAGAAAAGGCUGCUUGGGGGACAUUGUUGCGGUCUACGUCUGACUAUGUUCUGCCGUAUGGCGUCCACAAUGUAUUGGAUGCCAGAUGAGCUUAAGAACAGAAGCGUGACCGGGACUUUAUCCAUCAAGUCGCGAUCCAAGGGAAGGACUGAGGCCAGACCAGCCGUGACACCACAAAAGUUGUCAUCCUUGAAAAGUAUAUGAACAUGCUGUUCCAAUGAAAAUAAUUUUUCAAAUGUAGCAGCACUGAACUGUUACAACUACUGAAGGUGCUGCUACGCUCG